CGGCCGGCAAGAAUAAAGACAAAGUUCCCGACAAGAGGAACGACGACCUUGAUGAAAAGACUAAAAAGAGAAUUCAAAAGUCGGCUCUAACAACUCCGGCCGACAACGACAAGGAUGAAAAUGUUGAAAAGAGGAAGGACGCUCUUGAUGAAAAGACUGAAAAGAGCACUGACAAGUUAUUCGAGCUGACACUGACGGCUGUGACCUUCAUAGUUGGGCUUUCUAUUGAGGUGGUCGUCGUUUACACUUUGGACCAAUUCGUCAAACGCUUACCCGAGUAACUGCAGAACGGCUUUCUGAGGGCGCGCCUCGCACACAGCGCGGAACGAUCUCCUACUCGCAAGCAAAAGCCAGGAU